rnacentral:rRNA from 1 species
CCUACGGGAGACAGCAGUGGGGGAUAUUGCACAAUGGGGGGAACCCUGAUGCAGCGACGCCGCGUGGGUGAAGGAGUGCUUCGGCAUGUAAAGCCCUAUCGGCAGGGAAGAAGCAAGACGGUACCUGACUAAGACGCCCCGGCUCACUACGUGCCAGCAGCCGCGGUAAUACGUAGGGGGCGAGCGUUAUCCGGAUUCACUGGGUGGAAAGGGAGCGUAGACGGCCAUGCAAGCCAGGGGUGAAAGCCCGGGGCCCAACCCCGGGACUGCCCUUGGAACUGCAUGGCUGGAGUGCGGGAGGGGCAGGCGGAAUUCCUGGUGUAGCGGUGAAAUGCGUAGAUAUCAGGAGGAACACCGGCGGCGAAGGCGGCCUGCUGGACCGCGACUGACGUUGAGGCUCGAAAGCGUGGGGAGCGAACAGGAUUAGAUACCCGAGUAGUC